GAUGAACGCUGGCGGCGUGCCUAAUACAUGCAAGUAGAACGCUGAAGCUUGGUGCUUGCACCGAGCGGAUGAGUUGCGAACGGGUGAGUAACGCGUAGGUAACCUGCCUGGUAGCGGGGGAUAACUAUUGGAAACGAUAGCUAAUACCGCAUGACAACAGUUAUUGCAUGAUGACUGUUUAAAAGGGGCAACUGCUCCACUACCAGAUGGACCUGCGUUGUAUUAGCUAGUUGGUGAGGUAACGGCUCACCAAGGCGACGAUACAUAGCCGACCUGAGAGGGUGAUCGGCCACACUGGGACUGAGACACGGCCCAGACUCCUACGGGAGGCAGCAGUAGGGAAUCUUCGGCAAUGGACGGAAGUCUGACCGAGCAACGCCGCGUGAGUGAAGAAGGUUUUCGGAUCGUAAAGCUCUGUUGUAAGAGAAGAACGAGUGUGAGAGUGGAAAGUUCACAC
rnacentral:rRNA from 1 species